GGGGUUGUGGCUCUGUGGUAGAGCACUCACCUAACGCGUGUGAUGUGCUGGGUUCGAUCCUCAGCACCA
rnacentral:tRNA from 1 species